rnacentral:rRNA from 1 species
GACAGAGGGUGCAAACGUUGCUCGGAAUUAUUGGGCGUAAAGAGCUCGUAGGCGGUUUGUCGCGUCUGCCGUGAAAGUCCGGGGCUCAAUUCCGGAUCUGCGGUGGGUACGGGCAGACUAGAGUGAUGUAGGGGAGACUGGAAUUCCUGGUGUAGCGGUGAAAUGCGCAGAGAUCAGGAGGAACACCGAUGGCGAAGGCAGGUCUCUGGGCAUUAACUGACGCUGAGGAGCGAAAGCAUGGGGAGCGAACAGG